AUGCUCACAGAUUUCUCCUCUCUCAUCCUUCUCUCUGCAUUGCUCCCUUCUCCUCCUUUCCCAUUGCUGUGCUCUUCUUUCUCUUUCUUUCCCUGUACUUUUCCCCUCCUUUUUUUCCCGAACAACUACCGUCUGCUCUCUUCUUACUCCUCACACUCACCCCCUCUUGCUCUCCAUCUCAUUCCCCUCUCCUGUCCUCUUUUGGUGCAUGGAGAGAGGGUCUCUGGCCCCCACCUGCAUCCCUCUCCACCUCCCUCCAUGGGCGUCCGAGCAUCCUGCAGGCCAGACCCUGCGUCCCAGCAGAAUGACUCUCCUCUCCCAGACCAGGAUGAGGAGAUACUGGGCUCUGACGAUGAGGAGCAGGAAGACCCCAAUGACUACUGUAGAGGUAUGAUACACAGACACACACACAUACUGACUACUGUAGAGGUAUGAUACACAGACACACACACAUACUGACUACUGUAGAGGUAUAAUACACAGACACACACACAUACUGACGACUGUAGAGGUAUGAUACACACAGACACAAUACACUACUGACUACUGUAGAGGUAUGAUACACACAGACAAAAACACAUACUGACUACUGUAGAGGUAUGAUACACAGACACAAACACAUACUGACUAUGGAGAG
rnacentral:lncRNA from 1 species